AUUGAACGCUGGCGGCAGGCCUAACACAUGCAAGUCGAGCGGAUGAAGGGAGCUUGCUCCUGGAUUCAGCGGCGGACGGGUGAGUAAUGCCUAGGAAUCUGCCUGGUAGUGGGGGGUAACGUCCGGAAACGGGCGCUAAUACCGCAUACGUCCUGCGGGAGAAAGUGGGGGAUCUUCGGACCUCACGCUAUCAGAUGAGCCUAGGUCGGAUUAGCUAGUUGGUGGGGUAAAGGCCUACCAAGGCGACGAUCCGUAACUGGUCUGAGUGGAUGAUCAGUCACACUGGAACUGAGACACGGUCCAGACUCCUACGGGAGGCAGCAGUGGGGAAUAUUGGACAAUGGGCGAAAGCCUGAUCCAGCCAUGCCGCGUGUGUGAAGAAGGUCUUCGGAUUGUAAAGCACUUUAAGUUGGGAGGAAGGGCAGUAAGUUAAUACCUUGCUGUUUUGACGUUACCAACAGAAUAAGCACCGGCUAACUUCGUG
rnacentral:rRNA from 1 species